rnacentral:misc_RNA from 1 species
UGCGGGAUCCAGUGCUGGGGGU